AUGUUCGCCUGGCACCGGAGCUUUCCCCUGGGAGCGCCCUGGAAGAGAGGUAAGAAGAGUCCACCUGCUGAGGACAAAGUAGUGCUAACACAUAUGAAGAUAUUGAGCAAUGAAGGAAUUCAGAACCCAGGGCUAGUACUGGAGGCUCCUGCUGAUGCAGGCUGUACUGAGGAGCCCCAUCUCCCCAGCACGAACUUCCCACAGGACUGCCAGGGAUGUCCAAAUGCCACAGCCAUAACAGCAGACACAGACUAUGCAGAAGCCCCAGCAGCCACAGAUUAUGUAGCCACACUGCCUGACCUCAGCAGCUUUGAGUCCAAGUGCCGCCUUCACAGAUUCUCCAAAUUUGAAUCUGAGGACUCGGGAGUUGAACUGCCAAGCGGGGCUAACUCUCCAUCAACGCCAACAGGUUCAGAGAAGAGCUUUGUGCUUCACAGCAGAGACUCAUUUUGUGACUCAGGUGUGCUUAGCACCUCAUCUUCUCCAGAAAUUGACCACCUGAUAAUGAGAGCAUGUAAAGAGCGUGCCAGGAAGGCUGGCCACCAAGGUGUGGAGAGUGAAAAGAAAGAUGAGCUCUAUAGCCAGGAGUCAGAUGUUGUGCAGGUUCCCACACCUUCCCUUGAAGACUUCAGUGUUCCUCAGGAAGGAGAAAGUCCUGAUGAACAUUUUGACCAGAGUGAAAGGCAAUCUCUGGAAAAAGAACCGUCCCCAGAGACGAACCCCCCCACAGAGAGCACUCUUCCCACCCCCGUUCCCAUAGAGGAGCCAAAAACAAUUGCUGACAAUUACACAGAGACCUUUGGCAGUACACAAGACCUUCAGCUCCAUGGACAUCAGCUGAAGAAGUAUCCCACAAGUGACAGUCUGGAUGAAUACAUGAAUGAAUGCUGUAGACUGAGCGAGGUGAACCAAGGGAACAGCAAAGCCCUGGGAUCUGGCCUGGGAUACCUGGAACACAUUUGCCAACUGAUAGAGAAGAUUGGGCAGCUGCAGGAGCACAACCUGCGGCUCCAAAAGCAAGUCUGCAGCUUACAGAAAGAGCAGAAGAUGAGCCAGAUAAAAGAGGAGUACCUCAUGCAGCAUUGCUCCUGUGGAGCUGCCAGCGUGUUCCUCAACUCGUACCAAGACAUGAAGACAUUUUUGGCAGGGAGGAGCAGACCUCAUAGCCUCUUGGUUCAGACUGGAAACUCUUCUGAUCUUUCAAUCAUCCCAGAAAUAGGAGCAAACACUGACAAGCUCAGCAACUACCGCGGAAGUGAGAGAUACCCAGAAUCAGGAAACAGCCAUCCAACAGCAGGGCUCAGGAAGUUGUCGAACAAUAGGAAUAAGGAAAAUGAGUUCAGAGAAGGUGGUGGCACGGCUGAAAGACAGGCUUUUCCACCAAAGGAUCCUGCAACCAGAAAGGGUUUGGACACCAGCAAGAACUGCUCAGGUGAGAGCCAUGCCUGGGGGAGAAUGAGAGAUCUUAUGAGAAAGACAAGGCUGAGAAACCAAAGCAAGCUGGGGCUGUCCUCUGCUGCACUGAAGAGGUCCUGCCCACAGUUGUACAGGCCAGAUAUUAUAUCUUCGGAGCUGAGGAAAGCAGAGAGAACUGAGAGGAACUCCAUGAUUGUUUUGGGGCAAAAUACAAAGAAUGAAAACAUAUGGCCUUUCUGAAAACCCACGUUAAAGGGGACAAGGAAGGAGAAGUGGGAACAGUGAUGGACACAAAAUGGAAGAGCCCAGGGGUGCUUUGUGCAGCUUUGCGCACCCAGCAUCCUCCAGCUGUUGGCAAAGCAACUCUGAUUUGAAUGUUGGAAGGCAAAGAAGGAAAGGGGAGGUGGAUAAAGGAGGUGGAUAAAGGUCUGUGGAUAGAUGCAUGCUCAGCUACCUAUGGCUUCGCUCCUGAACCUGCCGCAUACUCACAAGCCACAGAAGAAACUUGCAGCCAGCAUCUUGGCACCAUAACCAGGAGAGGCUUUUAAAUGAGACUUGAUAAUUAAUUCUUCCUCCUAUCUGUGCUAGGAACAGUACUACCUGAAUCACCAAAGCUUUUAAAUUAUCACUGCUUCCUGGGGACCUCUUACAGCUGAAAUGAACUUCAGCCUCACAGUGGCCAGAGGAGCACCAUAUCUAUUACUGGGUGCAGAGAUGGCCAUUGGCUGCACUGCUCCCUCAGGCCAGGGGCUGCAGGCUGCUUGCCCUCAGCACACUCCUCCCUUCCCAGCAGCACCUUGCCAGCUAUGCAGUUUUAAUCAAAUGCAACAGGAACAAAAGUCCGUAAAGCCAAGCUUUCCCUCAGGGCCAUUCACAAACCUACCACCAGCUGCACCUUCUGCAAACACUCCUUGAUUUCAGUGCCAUCAUAACACAGAAGUCAACAUGAUGAACGGCACUGCAAGAAUUGGUCAUUAUAGAGAUGGGAAGGUACAUCCAUGGCAGCAUCUCAGUUAUCCAGCAGCCCAGCUCUCUGCCAAGUAGUGCUGUCCAUCUUCCGGAAGAGCAGAGCUGCAAGGAUGUCACGCACACCCUCUAUGUUCUGCAUCUAGGACUGUUCUCUUAGACCUCCGUUUUGAGGGUUUUUUUUUUUUAAAUGCUAUAGCCAUGCUUGAUAGGUGCCUUACUGCCAUGUUUACACAGAGCUCAGAGAACUGACAGCAUCUGCUUCUGAAAGGUGCUGCAGCUGCCACAGUGAUCUCUGUUCUUUUGCUUGUAGGAGCUGGUGCAUUUAUACCUAUGGAGUAAAAAUUCGAGCAAGCCAACUUUAUCUCGUGUUACAGGGGCAUGCUACUCCCCUGAAUUACAAUAUAACUGUCAGUCAGGCACUUGCUAUUUAAAAUCCCUUCUGGUCUACCCUUGGGAACUGAGAUUUCAGAAGAUGACAGUAACACACUAACUUCAGCAGGUUUAGCCUUUCAGCAGCAGGUGCUUCCCCUUCACUCACUCAGAGCAGCUGGAGCCCUCCAAGGCAGAGCAAGAUCUCUUCUGAAAUUCUGAGCCCAGUUCUAGCAGCAACACAAAGCAAAGAGUUGUUGCUCACUAGAACAACAUAUCAUGUUUACUCAGUGCAAGUAUAAUUUGCAGGUGAAGUUCAGUGUAGCUGCUGUUAUUUAGCAUCUAAAAAAAAGAGUUUGUGCUGACUCACAGUUAGUACCCUGCUGUGUUUAAUAUUUCAGUUGUCACUAAUUACAGCUGCUGUUGUACGACUUGGUUAGUCACUGUAUAUCUUGCUAGCUUCAUCUAAAGCUAGAGAUAUUUAUGACUUGAUUAUUCUGUAAAUAGUCUGUUUAUCUCCAUAAAUCCCAGGGGCUAAAAAUCCUGCCUCAACUUGCACCCUCCACCUGUACAGACACUAUGAGGAAUAUGAAUCAGUGCAGAACUGGACUUGCAGGGUUUCAAGAGAGUCAUGAACUGGUGUUUUUCCAUCCCCUACUCUCCUCACAUUAUAGGUGUUAUAUGGUUUUUAAAAUUAAGAUGAACUAGCACUCUUUUAUUACUGCAUUAUAUGAAAUAUAUUCAUGUAUUUUCAAAACUAUAUUUAUAACCUGUAACAUACUGUAUAGUUUGCCACUUUAAGAUAUGCUUGUACUACAAUUUAAUAAGUUUAAUAAUAAAAUCACUUAUGAAAUAACUGGUUUCA
ensembl:lncRNA